rnacentral:lncRNA from 1 species
AUGGCUCAUGGAACCCAGGUCCAACCAACCGUUUGGUGGAACAGAACCUUGGGUGAGGGGAUAUAUGGGUCUGUAUUACCCCAUCAACUUUUACCCCAAAAAGGCUUGGUUCUGAGGAAAUACAGGCUGCUGGGUGAAGAUACGAGUUGGACUGACUUCUCUACUGAGAUUUAUAAACCUCUCUUAGGAAGCAUUUAUAUGAAACACUUCAUAAUCCACCAGUUCCUCCAUUCACUAGAAUCAGAAAUAGCCAAAAGGCAGCCAAAGACAUUCCACACAUCUGCCACCAACAGGUGUAUGUGCAAUCUCCACAACAAAGAUCCGAGUGUUCUUAUUUGUAUUCCACAGUCCUAA